CUAAGGUGAAAGUACACAUUUUGCUGGUGAGGUAAGUUCAACCAUGUCCCAAACAAACCAGAGAAAAAGCAAAGGCAAACCAAGAGCCCAGCAAGCAUGGACUUCGGAGCAACCAGAGAGAGCCCCGUGCAGAGCCCAGGAGGGUGCAGGUAAUGACAGCCACCUGACCGGGCACAGGCAAGGAUUAAGCGAGGUGAUCUGGGUGAAAGGCCCCACAGGGUUCAUGUCUUGAGCCUGCUGGCCCUUUGGAGUAGAACUACAC
rnacentral:lncRNA from 10 species